rnacentral:rRNA from 1 species
CAAUAGCGUAUAUUAACGUUGUUGCAGUUAAAAAGCUCGUAGUUGGAUUUCUGGAGGGAGCGUCGGCCCGUAUUUACGAGUGCGUGACGUCUCUGUCCAUCCUUGCGGGAAGGCACGGCAUUGAUUUGUUGUGUCGGAUCGCAUCAUUUACUGUGAAAAAAUUAGAGUGUUCAAAGCAGGCUUUCGCUUGAAUACAUUAGCAUGGAAUAAUAAGAUAGGACUUUGGUGCUAUUUUGUUGGUUGAGCCUAAAGUAAUGAUUAAUAGGGAUCGUUGGGGGCACCUGUAUUGCGUUGUCAGAGGUGAAAUUCUUGGAUUUACGCAAGACAAACAGCUGCGAAAGCGUCUGCCAAGGAUGUUUUCAUUA